CAAAGAUUAAGCCAUGCAUGUSUGAGUGCAAACUAAAUUAAAGUGAAACCGCGAAAGGCUCAUUAAAUCAGUUAUGGUUUUUUUGAUGGUACGCACAGUUACUUGGAUAACUGUGGUAAUUCUAGAGCUAAUACAUGCAAAUAGAGCCCCGACCAUUCGCUGGAAGGGGUGCUUUUAUUAGAUCAAAACCAAUCAGGCUCGAAAGGGCUUGUUUGUCUUGGUGACUCUGAAUAACUUUGGGCUGAUCGCAUGGUCUUGUACCGGCGACGCAUCUUUCAAAUGUCUGACUUAUCACACUUUCGAUGGUAGGCUCUGCGCCUACUAUGGUUAUAACGGGUAACGGGGAAUCAGGGUUCGAUUCCGGAGAGGGAGCCUGAGAAACGGCUACCACAUCCAAGGAAGGCAGCAGGCGCGCAAAUUACCCACUCCCAGCACGGGGAGGUAGUGACGAAAAAUAACGAUGCAGAACUCAAUCCGAGGCUCUGCAAUCGGAAUGAGAACACUCUAAAUCAUUUAACGAGUAUCCAUUGGAGGACAAGUCUGGUGCCAGCACCCGCGGUAAUUCCAGCUCCAAUAGCGUAUAUUAAAGUUGUUGCGGUUAAAAAGCUCGUAGUUGGAUCUGUGUUUCUCGCUGUCGGUUCACCGUUUUGAUGGUGUUUAACUGACAUGUCGUGUAACGUCCUGCCGGUUGGUGACGUGUCUUUUUCUCUUCAAUGGGAGGGAUGCGUCUGCCAGUUCCAAUCCUGUCGCGUUGCUCUUCGCUGAGUGACGAGGCGGGCCGGCACGUUUACCUUGAACAAAUUUGAGUGCUUCAAGCAUGCUAAAAUCGCCGGAAAACUGUGUGCAUGGAAUAAUAUAAUAGGACCGCGGUUCUAUUUUGUUGGUUUUCAGAAUCCGAGGUAAUGAUUAAUAGGAACUGACGGGGGCAUUAGUAUUGCGACGUUAGAGGUGAAAU
rnacentral:rRNA from 1 species